UGUAGGAGUGAGCCUGCUCGCGAUAGCGGUGUGUCAGCCAACAUAUGCCUCACUGACACACCGCUAUCGCGAGCAGGCUCACUCCUACA
rnacentral:antisense_RNA from 2 species